UUCUAUGUUUAAUAUACCGUUAUUUUAAGGUGUUUGAUUGUUUCAUUUUAUUUAUUUGCUAUAGAAAGCAAGCAAACUUGUUGCAAAAAGAUCACAAAUGGAUGGACAACUUUUUCUCAUCAAGCAUCUUCUUAUAUUAAGAGAACAGAUUGCACCUUCUGACAUAGAAUUCUUAGUCACACACAAGGAACUGGAUUUCUCCCAAUUGUUGGUUAGUAUUUACUUCAACUUCUCCUUUUUCAAAAAAAAAAUAAUAAAUAAAUACAAUAAUCUCUUAGAAGAAUCUGAAAGUUUGUAUUCAUUUGUAUGUGAUCACUUCAGGAGCAUCUGAGACGAAUUCUUAGAGGUCAAACCUCAUUAUUUGAUUGGUCAAGGUCAACUUCUUUGGUAAGGACACUGUCGCCUCGAGUUUUGGAAAGUCAAAUUGAUGCAAAGAAGGUAUACAGUUAGUAAUUCAUGGUUUGUUGCCCGUUUUUUUAUUUAAUUAUAUUGGUUUUUGCAUUUUUGUAUUAUUAAAUUUAGGAACUUGAGAAAAAUCUGAAAGCCACAUGUGAAAGUUUAUCAUGUCAGUCACUAAGCUAGUAGUAGACCCCAUGCUUUCCUUUGUUACAAAGGUUAGUUAUUUAUCUUCUGUCCUUUUCAGCAAAAUAAAUAAGGGGACAACCAGAAUAAACAUUUAUUUAUUUUUUUCUGUUUCUUGAAGGUGACAGCUGUUAGGGUGGCAUUGUCAUCAGGUNNNNNNNNNNNNNNNNNNNNNNNNNNNNNNNNNNNNNNNNNNNNNNNNNNNNNNNNNNNNNNNNNNNNNNNNNNNNNNNNNNNNNNNNNNNNNNNNNNNNCUAUAGAGUACUAUUGAUCAGUUGUGGCCCAUCAGAAGGAGAACAUUGUCAAUACCAACAACUCUAACCGUCAAUGCAAUGUUUAUUUUUUAAUAUUUGUUACUAAAUAUAAACACAUUGAAUUAAAAUAUACCUAAAUUAAAACAUCAAUGAUAGGUAGUAUCGAAAUCAUUUAGAAGAAAGAUCGAAAACCUUCAGAUAUUUUAUGCACUUAAAUUAACUAUGACUCAAACCUCUGUGAUAGGGGUAUCCNAAAAAAAAAAAAGAUACUCGGUCCAAAACACAUAAUACAAUAUUGUUUUGUGGAAUUUGAGAUUUAACGCUAGUAAGAUUUAAAAUGAAAAUGAUUAAAAGCUAGUAAGAUUUAUAAUGAAAAUGAUUAUAAAAAUCAAAGAAAAAUUAAACCAACAGCCAAUUAGAAGAUGCAUGGACCAUUGUAUUUGGAACCCAACGGAUCUACAUAAACAAAACUACAAUUUUCUUAUUUCUAGAACAUAAUAUCGGACACCAUAAUAAUUUUAGGAAGUAAUAAAAAAGAAAGACUAUGUAUGGAACAGAGGAUACAACUUGCUUUGCAUUAGUAACUACAUCUAAAAUACUUUUCCAAUCGUCCUUUUCAAAUAUGGUUUUCCCAAGAAAUUCAAAAAGUUUAAAUUUUUUUAAAACAAAUAUAUUAGUUAUCAGAUACUAUUACUUACCAAUCAGUCUGAAGAAUUUAUUUCCUCAAUCUCAUCAAAGUAGCAACACUUAGCCUCGGGAUUAUAUCAUUCUGUUUAUCAAAAAACAAGAAUUGAAAUUGAUACCAAUAAAAAUAAUAUAUAAAUAUAUAAAUCAACCUACAUACAAACGGUUGUGACAAAUUCAGAGCAGCUACCAGCAAGAUCUCUAGAAACACAAGGUGGUGUUCCAUAUCCAACAGCUGUAACAAUAUCAGGGCUAAAACCUAAUUCAUCGCAUGUAUUUUUUCGAAUCAUUAUGGAUAGCAUUGAAACAAUUGCACCUCCAAAUGAAUGGCCCACUAGCCUUAACCUAAAUCCCUAUAACAAAUUAUUAGUUAUUAUUUUAAAAAUAAAAAGAAAAAGAAAAAAGAAAAUUAAGAAAUUGAGCACUUGAUGUUUGUGAAGGCGGUCAUUAAUGGUUCCCAUUUCAUGAGUGAGAAACCAACGAGCAGCUUCACAAGUUCCAAAAUGAGUGGAAUACCCUUCAAAAUUAACUUCAAUAAAGAUUUGUCCUUUAUCCUGAUUAAGACAAUUAAGACAGAAAUUAAGCUGAUUCAAAAGAGAAAACAAGUCCAAUAUAUGGAUUUUUUUAUCAAUAAGAACAAACACUAAUUUAAUUAACUGAGUCAAAUUGUUUUCUAUUCUGUUAACCAAUUGAAAAAAAAGAUCAAUGAAUGGACCAUACUAAUUUAAGGCAGACAUUAAUGGUUCCCAUUAUUUUUUAAUUCAAUUACUUUUUUUUCUUCCAUUCUUCAGGAAGUUGUUGAGGUUUGCUCUUUAUCCAUCCAAGUAAGUGAAUUUAAUUGCUUCAGAUUUGUUUCUAUGUUUAAUAUACCGUUAUUUUAAGGUGUUUGAUUGUUUCAUUUUAUUUAUUUGCUAUAGAAAGCAAGCAAACUUGUUGCAAAAAGAUCACAAAUGGAUGGACAACUUUUUCUCAUCAAGCAUCUUCUUAUAUUAAGAGAACAGAUUGCACCUUCUGACAUAGAAUUCUCAGUCACACACAAGGAACUGGAUUUCUCCCAAUUGUUGGUUAGUAUCUACUUCAACUUCUCCUUU
rnacentral:lncRNA from 1 species